CACGUAGGGUGCGAGCGUUGUCCGGAAUUAUUGGGCGUAAAGAGCUCGUAGGCGGUGUGUCGCGUCGGCCGUGAAAACCUGCAGCUUAACUGUGGGCUUGCGGUCGAUACGGGCAUCACUGGAGUUCGGCAGGGGAGACUGGAAUUCCUGGUGUAGCGGUGAAAUGCGCAGAUAUCAGGAGGAACACCGGUGGCGAAGGCGGAUCUCUGGGCCGUAACUGACGCUGAGGAGCGAAAGCGUGGGGAGCAAACAGG
rnacentral:rRNA from 1 species